AACGAACGCUGGCGGCAUGCCUAACACAUGCAAGUCGAACGAGACCUUCGGGUCUAGUGGCGCACGGGUGCGUAACGCGUGGGAACCUGCCCUUAGGUUCGGAAUAACUCCCCGAAAGGGGUGCUAAUACCGGAUAAUGUCUUCGGACCAAAGAUUUAUCGCCUUUGGAUGGGCCCGCGUUGGAUUAGCUAGUUGGUAGGGUAAAAGCCUACCAAGGCGACGAUCCAUAGCUGGUCUGAGAGGAUGAUCAGCCACACUGGGACUGAGACACGGCCCAGACUCCUACGGGAGGCAGCAGUGGGGAAUAUUGGACAAUGGGCGAAAGCCUGAUCCAGCAAUGCCGCGUGAGUGAUGAAGGCCUUAGGGUUGUAAAGCUCUUUUACCCGGGAUGAUAAUGACAGUACCGGGAGAAGAAGCUCCGGCUAACUCCGUG
rnacentral:rRNA from 1 species